AGUACGUAAGCGCAGUGGGUCGCGAAUCGUGCAUGCUGCUAUUAAGAACCAGCAGUAUCUUUUGAAGAUUU
rfam:Glossina austeni unplaced genomic scaffold Scaffold478, whole genome shotgun sequence.